GAGUGUCAGUUACUCAGAGUUGCCAGAACCUGUUUGCCCAUAGGCAAACAAACAAGUGUUGAAUCCAUGGAAAGCUUGUGAUAGUAAUGGUUUAGCCAAGUUUUCGUAAACUUCUCUUUGUUGCUGAUGUUGUUCUGGGCAACAGCUGAGAUAGAAUCAGAUGAGAAACAUCCAUCACAUGUGAAAAAAAAAGUUUCUCCUAUGUUUGUUAAAAGUUGUAUGUUGCUUCCAUCAACAAAAAUGACAGGUUCUUCUUUUUCAGCCUCUUCUUUUGUGGUUUUGGGUCGAAGUCUCACAGCAACUUUUAUACGACUGUUGAAACUUGGCUGCACUUUUGUCUUCUUUUUUCUUUCCUUACUUGGAUCAAUCUUUGGGUCUUUUGAUGCUCCUGCUGAAGCAACUUUCUGUUUUGUCCCAGUCAUCUUUGGCUUUGAUGAUGUUGGUAACUUAUUGAGGCUGGUUGACUUGGGACUUUUGGACCGAGUCUUCAGAAGACAAAUAAUAGAACAAAAGACAGCUAUUUACCUGUCAGAGUGUCAGUUGUUCUUCUCCAGCUCCAGCUCCUCCUCCAUUCCUCCUUCAUGCUGUAAUCAGUCUUUUUGAAUUUUCCGUCUGUUGUUACUGGACUUUGUAUUGUGGAAUAAUGUGAUUGAGUCACAGGAGGUUUAAGAAAUAAUUGUGCUGUGCUGCAAGGAAAGUAUUAUGAAGACGCCGAAGCUGUGAUGUCGUAGUUCGACCUAGUUUACACAUAAAUAAGAUAAAUAAAAUAUCAAAAUGUUAAAUUCUGCCGAAUUCUGCAUCAAGGUCCAAAAGUCCCAAGUCAACCAGCCUCAAUAAGUUACCAACAUCAUCAAAGCCAAAGAUGACUGGGACAAAACAGAAAGUUGCUUCAGCAGGAGCAUCAAAAGACCCAAAGAUUGAUCCAAGUAAGGAAAGAAAAAAGAAGACAAAAGUGCAGCCAAGUUUCAACAGUCGUAUAAAAGUUGCUGUGAGACUUCGACCCAAAACCACAAAAGAAGAGGCUGAAAAAGAAGAACCUGUCAUUUUUGUUGAUGGAAGCAACAUACAACUUUUAACAAACAUAGGAGAAACUUUUUUUUUCACAUGUGAUGGAUGUUUCUCAUCUGAUUCUAUCUCAGCUGUUGCCCAGAACAAACAUCAGCAACAAAGAGAAGUUUACGAAAACUUGGCUAAACCAUUACUAUCACAAGCUUUCCAAGGAUUCAACACUUGUUUGAUUGCCUAUGGGCAAACAGGUUCUGGCAAGAGCUACAGUAUGAUGGGGAAAAUUGGUAGCAAAAGUGAACUUGAUGAUGCGUCCGGCAUUAUCCCUCGUUCAUCCACGUCGACGAUCUGGUCAAAAACUAUGCUUCUGAAACUUCUGUGAGUCUCUCCAUCGAGAUUCAAAUCAGUUAUUUUCAAAUCUACAAGGAGAAAAUCCAGGAUCUUUUGUGCUCAACAAGAAGAAACUUGUCUGUUCGAGAACAUCCAAAAAACGGUCCUUACGUGGUCAAUCUUACCAAUUGUCUGGUUACUUCGCUUGAAGAAGUGCAACGUUGGCUCGCUGUUGGCAAUCGAAAACGAGUUGUAGCGUCCACUUCUCAAAACGAGCACAGCUCCCGUUCUCACAUAAUCUUCAGCAUUACGCUGUCGCAAAGUUUCCAAGAAAUAAUCGACGGACGACCGCACGUAACUGAUAAGCACAGUCGUAUAAAUUUCAUCGAUUUGGCAGAAAAAGAAAGACGUUGUUACAAAAAGGCCGGGAUAUUCAUUAUAGCCCCCUUCCAGCACAAAUGCUCGUUACUCCACCACCCAAAACUAAUUCUGAAACAAGGAACGUUUAGAUAACUAAAAGUCAUUAGUGUAAAUGUUGUGUUUUUCUGAAAUAAUCCUAAACACUGUAAUCUGAGUUCACGGUAAAAUUCCUUAAAAUCUUUACAUCAGUUCCUAUAUUUAAUAUAUAGAUUUAUUGCACGUCUAAUUCGAAACUUGCCUUUGCCUCCUUUGCCUUUGUAU